rnacentral:tRNA from 1 species
CGGCAGGUUGGCGGAGUUGAAGUGCCCGCUCUCACGCAGCGCACGGGAGACGCGGCGCACCUGUGCCGAGCCGGUCUUGCCCGCCA